CUCCUGCCCCGGGGCCCCUGUCCACUCAGCCAUAGCUCAGUGCCCUGCCCCAAGGUGCUCCAGCCCUGCCCCAAAUGGGGCAGUAGGUGGGGGGUUGCUUGCUCGUCCCCAUCCCCCCUGGCAGCAUCCCCCUGACGCAUGGUUUCCCUGUUUUGACACGGCCUUUCUCGGCAGUUCCUCAUUGACAAGAAUGGCUGUGUGGUGAAGCGCUACGGUCCCAUGGAAGAGCCCCUGGUAAUAGAGAAGGACUUACCCUGCUACCUCUAGCUCCACAAGUACGCGCCCCCCCCCACGGCCCCUGCCCCUCGGAGCCUUCCACCCGGCACCCAUGACGGUCUGCCUGAAAACCAGCCCGCUGGUGGGGCAGACCCGAGAACCUGGCGUGCACCCCCCGCCGGAGGAAGGUUCCUCAGGCCUGGCUCGAGGCUUGGCGCCCCCCACCCCUGGUUAUCUUGUGGGAAUAAAACAUACAAAUGGCC